rfam:Canis lupus familiaris chromosome 10, whole genome shotgun sequence.
AGCUUUGCGCAGUGGCAGUAUCAUAGCCAAUGAGGUUUAUCCGAAGCGCGAUUAUUGCUAUAUAUGUAGGUAUAGAUAGAUAUAGUAUAUAGUAGCAAAACUUCUGAACAUCUAGGCAGAGA